rnacentral:ncRNA from 1 species
AGCAGUGAGACGGUGGGGGAUAAGCUUCAUCGUCGAGAGGGAAACAACCCAGACCACCAACUAAGGUCCCUAAGCGCGUGCUAAGUGGGAAAGGAUGUGGAGUUGCAUGGACAACCAGGAGGUUGGCUUAGAAGCAGCCACCCUUGAAAGAGUGCGUAAUAGCUCACUGGUCAAGUGAUUCCGCGCCGACAAUGUAACGGGGCUCAAGCACGCCACCGAAGUUGUGGCAUUGACAUUAUUGGUAGGCCUUCGUGGUCCAGCCGUGUUGAUGGGUAGGAGAGCGUCGUGUGGCCAGCGAAGCGGCGGUGUGAACCAGCCGUGGAGGCUACACGAGUGAGAAUGCAGGCAUGAGUAGCGAAAGACGGGUGAGAAACCCGUCCUCCGAAAGACCAAGGGUUCCAGGGUCAAGCUAAUCUUCCCUGGGUAAGUCGGGACCUAAGGCGAGGCCGACAGGCGUAGUCGAUGGACAACGGGUUGAUAUUCCCGUACCGGCGAAGAACCGUCCCAAGCUAAUCCAGUAAUGCUAAGAGUCCGAAUCCCGUGACGAUCCCUUCGGGGUGAUGGUUGGGCCU